rnacentral:rRNA from 1 species
UACGUAGGUGGCAAGCGUUAUCCGGAAUUAUUGGGCGUAAAGAGCGCGCAGGUGGUUGAUUAAGUCUGAUGUAAAAGCCCACGGCUUAACCGUGGAGGGUCAUUGGAAACUGGUCGACUUGAGUGCAGAAGAGGGAAGUGGAAUUCCAUGUGUAGCGGUGAAAUGCGUAGAGAUAUGGAGGAACACCAGUGGCGAAGGCGGCUUCCUGGUCUGUAACUGACACUGAGGCGCGAAAGCGUGGGGAGCAAACAGGAUUAGAUACCCU